rnacentral:lncRNA from 1 species
GAUCAUAUGGGUUGAAGUGUUUAUUGUGGACUAGAUCAUAAGGGUUGAAGUGUUUAUUGUGGACUAGAUCAUAUGGGUUGAAGUGUGUUUAUUGUGGACUAGAUCAUAUGGGUUGAAGUGUUUAUUGUGGACUAGAUCAUAUGGGUUGAAGUGUUUAUUGUGGACUAGAUCAUAUGGGUUGAAGUGUUUAUUGUGGACUAGAUCAUAUGGGUUGAAGUGUUUAUUGUGGACUAGAUCAUAUGGGUUGAAGUGUUUAUUGUGGACUAGAUCAUAUGGGUUGAAGUGUUUAUUGUGGACUAGAUCAUAUGGGUUGAAGUGUUUAUUGUGGACUAGAUCAUAUGGGUUGAAGUGUUUAUUGUGGACUAGAUCAUAUGGGUUGAAGUGUUUAUUGUGGACUAGAUCAUAUGGGUUGAAGUGUUUAUUGUGGACUAGAUCAUAAAGGUUGAAGUGUUUAUUGUGGACUAGAUCAUAUGGGUUGAAGUGUUUAUUGUGGACUAGAUCAUAAAGGUUGAAGUGUUUAUUGUGGACUAGAUCAUAUGGGUUGAAGUGUUUAUUGUGGACUAGAUCAUAUGGGUUGAAGUGUUUAUUGUGGACUAGAUCAUAUGGGUUGAAGUGUUUAUUGUGGACUAAACAUUAAUUCAUGCUCAACUAACAGCCCCCCCCCCCAACAGGAUUAAACAUGAAUUCAUGCUCAACUAACAGCCCCACCCCCCCAACAGGAUUAAACAUUAAUUCAUGCUCAACUAACAGCCCCCCCCCCCCACCCAACAGGAUUAAACAUUAUUUCAUGCUCAACUAACAGCCCCCCCCCACCCAACAGGAUUAAACAUUAAUUAAUGGUCAACUAACAGCCCCCCCCCCACCCAACAGGGUUGAACAUUAAUUAGUGGUCAACUAACAGCCCCCCCCCCUACCCACCCAACAGGAUUAAACAUAAAUUAAUGCUCAACUAACAGCCCCCCCCCCACCAACAGGAUUAAACAUUAAUUAAUGCUCAACUAACAGCCCCCCCCCCAACAGGAUUAAACAUUAAUUCAUGCUCAACUAACAGCCCCCCCCCCAACAGGAUUAAACAUUAAUUCAUGCUCAACUAACAGCCCCCCCCCCCCCCCAACAGGAUUAAACAUUAAUUCAUGCGCAACUAACAGCCCCCCCCCCCCCCACCCAACAGGAUUAAACAUUAAUUAAUGCUCAACUAACAGCCCCCCCCCCACCCAACAGGAUUAAACA